rfam:Cnuella takakiae strain DSM 26897 genome assembly, contig: Ga0131159_106
UAAGAUGCGAUUUCUGCACUGAAGUAAGCGGGAUUGAGAAUGCCUGUACCGACGAACAGGAACUGCAUAGAAGGCCUGCAAAAAACGGAUGAGUAAGCACAUCGAUACGAAGUCCUGAAUGACUAGUUUUUUGCAGGUAGAUGCAGCGGGCAUAAUAGCCGCCGGC